rnacentral:tRNA from 1 species
GCCGCUGUGGCGGAAUUGGCAGACGCAGUAGACUCAAAAUCUGCCGGUAGUGAUACCGUACCGGUUCGAGCCCGGUCAGCGGCA